GCCGACCUAGCUCAAUGGCAGAGCACAGCUUUCGUAAAGCUGAGGUUCUGGGUUCGACUCCCAGGGUCGGCU
rnacentral:tRNA from 1 species